AGUUUUGUAACUCAGUUGGUAGAGUGAUUAGGUCUACACAGCCUAAAUGCCGUGGGUUCGAUUCCCACCAAAACCA
rnacentral:tRNA from 1 species